UACGUAGGUGGCGAGCGUUGUCCGGAAUUACUGGGUGUAAAGCGCGUGUAGGCGGCAGGCCAAGUCGGUGGUGAAAGCGCCCGGCUCAACUGGGCGAGGUCCAUGGAAACUGGUCAGCUGGAGGACGGUAGAGGCGAGUGGAAUUCCCGGUGUAGUGGUGAAAUGCGUAGAGAUCCGGAGGAACACCAAAGGCGAAGGCAGUGUCCUGGGGAGUACCUGACGCUCAGGUGCGAAAGCCAGGGGAGCGAACGGG
rnacentral:rRNA from 1 species